GCCUGUCCCAGUUCGGACUGGAGUCUGCAACCCGACUCCACGAGGUUGGAUUCGCUAGUAAUCGCGCAUCAGCCAUGGCGCGGUGAAUACAUUCCCGGGCCUUGUACACACCGCCCGUCAAGCCAUGGGAGCCGGGGGCGCCUGAAGUCCGGGACCGCGAGGACCGGCCUAGGGCGAAACUGGUAACUGGGGCUAAGUCGUAACAAGGUAAC
rnacentral:rRNA from 1 species